UAACACGUGGGUGAUCUGCCCUGCACUUCGGGAUAAGCUUGGGAAACUGGGUCUAAUACCGGAUAGGAGCCAUCUUUAGUGUGGUGGUUGGAAAGUUUUUCGGUGUAGGAUGAGCUCGCGGCCUAUCAGCUUGUUGGUGGGGUAAUGGCCUACCAAGGCGGCGACGGGUAGCCGGCCUGAGAGGGUGUACGGCCACAUUGGGACUGAGAUACGGCCCAG
rnacentral:rRNA from 1 species